rnacentral:tRNA from 5 species
CUUAGCUCAGCUGGAUAGAGCAACGGCCUUCUAAGCCGUAGGUCACAGGUUCGAAUCCUGUAG